UCAAGGAAAAUGAUUUUAUAAUAGAAACUAAGCUGAAGGUUCUGUUACCAGGACUGAAGAGAGGAAGUAGCCUGCCCUCUGUGUAAAAAAUACUCGAAUACAGGACUACAAUCCCCACAAGCCCUUGCUCCACUUCCCCAAGAUGCUUUGUAAUCUCACGGGAAUUCUGAGGUGGGCCGAGAUCGAGGAAGGAUUUAAGCUGGUGGCAAAGGUUUUUGGGUCUCUUGAUCUUUUUUUUUUAGACUUCCGUUUAGGGGCAGAUGGGGCUUUUCCAUAAUGUAGAUGACGCAGCUGCUGGUUCUCAGUUCCUUCUAGAUCCUACUUUUUCUACUUUCCAGUCUCAACAACCACGUAAGACAGGAUUGUAGGUUUUAUCAGCACCAUUUUGAAGAUGAGGAAACUAUUGCAAAGUGAUUCAACCAUAAUCAGAAUAAUGAACUGGAAGAAUUUCAUGUGAACUGGAACGACCUCCAGGAAUUGAUUCAGAGUGAAAGGAGCAGAACCAGGAGAAACUUGUACACAGAGACUGAUACAUGAUGACACAAUCGAAUAUAAUAGACUUCUCUACUAGCAGCAAUGCAAUUACCUAUAACAAUUCGGAGGGACAUAAGAGAAAGAACACUAUCCACAUCCAGAGGAAAAACUGUGGGAGUAGAAACACAGUAGAAAAACAACUGCUUGAUCCCAUGGGUCAAUGGGGAUAUGAUUGGGGAUGUAGACUCUAAAUGAUCACCCUAGAGCAAAUAUCAAUAAUAUGGAAAUAGGUCUUGAUCAAUGAUACAUGUAAAAACCAGUGGAAUUGUGUGUCAGCUAUGGGAGGGGGUUGGGGGGAGAGAGAAAAAGAACAUGAUUCUUGUAACUAUGGAAAUGUAUUCUAAAUUAA